CCCUAUUAUUGUAAAGAAAUAAAAAAUUGGAGAGUAGGAUUGAACUGAAAACUAUCCAGAAUGGCGGUUUUUUUUUUGUUCAGAAAGAUGUGUUUUUAAAACGAAAUUGCACGAAAAUCUUUCUUGUUUUUGAAUAUCCAUCCUGUUCACCGCCGUCUGAAGGGUAAAGAAAAAAAAUUUAAUCCUAUUCCUUUAUUCGGGAAUAAGUCAGGUAAGGUGCAGAUUAUAAACAAGACUAAAUGCAUUUCACUAGGAAUGAUCAAGGUUAGGUUUGAAAAAUCUUACCCAAGAAGAAUUUGAAAGUAAAGGUUUUUUAUUAAAAAGCCUUGAAUUAAAUACAAAAAAAA
rnacentral:rRNA from 1 species